rnacentral:lncRNA from 1 species
AGAGGAAAAAGGAGAAGGAAGAGAAGCUCCACUCGCCUCACCGGAGGCGUCACCCUCCCGUCCCGUAAGUAGUUCCUGAGGCCCCUGCCGAGUGGGGAGGGAGGAGGCGACCCCUGCAAAGGAGGGGUCAAGUCUCCCCAUUUUUUAAAAAUAUGCCACGCAUCCUUUUCCAAUGGCUCGGAUUAGAUUGAGGGCCAACGAUCACACAGUGGUGGGAAGGAGCAGAGGCUGGAAUAGCUGCUGGGUGGAGGUUCUUGGAGUCGUGGUGGGAAAAAAAACAACCCACAUUCCCUUGGGAUGGGAUGGGAUGGGAUCAGAUCUGUUGCAACAAACCCCACUCUCUGUGGUUACAGCCCCCCUCGCCCAGAGCACACUGUGAAGGGUCAGGGCUAUGAGCAGCUCCAUCCGGCCUCCCGGCAUGCCCCACAGGGUGUGUAUCUGCACGCCAGUGACCUGCACCCUGGGCCGAGGAUCCAUCAUGAGAAGCGUUACCAGAAUGUGAGUGGAUCGUUUCAUGGAUCCAAGUGAGUAGGGGGAAGUCCGUACGGAUCCUGCCAAGCAUCGUAGGCAGAGGGGGAGGCGGGGAGGGGGACUAGGUGGGGAACAAACUGCCCGAUCCCCAAAGCAUGCACCUAGGACCCUGUUCCCUUUUGGGGGGGGGGAGUUGUCCCUCUGGCCGCUGACUGCUGGGGGUGUUUUUCUGUGCCUCCUGUCUCAACAAAGUGAGAAGAAACCUCAGUAGUUGAUGAACACAACGGGAAAGAGGAAGCUGGCCAGUCCGGUUAGCAGCCAUGUCUCUUCCCGAGGGGUUCCGGUUGGCUCCCUUGCCAGCCCAGACCGGAGAUCCUUCCCUGCCAUGAGUUCUUGGCGGUCUCACCUCGGAGGACAGGCCAGGCCAGACCUUGCUUAGCUUUGGAACUCAGAGGAGAUCAGUGCGUUCCGGUGGUGUACAGGUUU